rnacentral:lncRNA from 1 species
UUUUCGAGCCGCCUGGACUUUUAAAGCACGAUGCUUCAAGUUGACGCCGUCCGAUUAGGUAUCAUCACCGGAAUUACCUCUGGGAGUUGCACUGAAAGUGGUGGAGUUUGAUUUUUGUAGCUCUCGGACCCAAAGUACAUCAUAUUACCAAGUAAAUUGGGAAAUUAGUGCCUUUUGUCCUCAAAUAUGAGGCUUUCGAAGCUCUCGAGAAUCAUAGAUUCCAAUUGAUUUUUUUCUGAAAUUUCAAAAUUAAAUUUAUUUUUUUAAUCUAAUUAUGAGUAUAGCGGUGUUGUGAAUUUGAUUUAGAAAUAAGAUAGAGAAAGAACACCGAAGAAAAAGAGACAAAGAAGAAUAAAAAUAAAGAAAGGAAUGA